rnacentral:rRNA from 1 species
AGCUUGCUCUCGGGUGACGAGUGGCGGACGGGUGAGUAAUGUCUGGGAAACUGCCUGAUGGAGGGGGAUAACUACUGGAAACGGUAGCUAAUACCGCAUAACGUCGCAAGACCAAAGAGGGGGACCUUCGGGCCUCUUGCCAUCAGAUGUGCCCAGAUGGGAUUAGCUAGUAGGUGGGGUAACGGCUCACCUAGGCGACGAUCCCUAGCUGGUCUGAGAGGAUGACCAGCCACACUGGAACUGAGACACGGUCCAGACUCCUACGGGAGGCAGCAGUGGGGAAUAUUGCACAAUGGGCGCAAGCCUGAUGCAGCCAUGCCGCGUGUAUGAAGAAGGCCUUCGGGUUGUAAAGUACUUUCAGCGGGGAGGAAGGUGUUGUGGUUAAUAACCGCAGCAAUUGACGUUACCCGCAGAAGAAGCACCGGCUAACUCCGUGCCAGCAGCCGCGGUAAUACGGAGGGUGCAAGCGUUAAUCGGAAUUACUGGGCGUAAAGCGCACGCAGGCGGUCUGUCAAGUCGGAUGUGAAAUCCCCGGGCUCAACCUGGGAACUGCAUUCGAAACUGGCAGGCUGGAGUCUUGUAGAGGGGGGUAGAAUUCCAGG